rnacentral:rRNA from 1 species
GACGAACGCUGGCGGCGUGCUUAACACAUGCAAGUCGAACGGAAAGGCCCUGCUUUUGUGGGGUGCUCGAGUGGCGAACGCGGGAGUAACACGUGAGUAACCUGCCCUUGACUUUGGGAUAACUUCAGGAAACUGGGGCUAAUACCGGAUAGGAGCUCCUGCUGCAUGGUGGUGGUUGGAAAGUUUCGGCGGUUGGGGAUGGACUCGCGGCUUAUCAGCUUGUUGGUGUGGUAGUGGCUUACCAAGGCUUUGACGGGUAGCCGGCCUGAGAGGGUGACCGGGCACAUGGGGACUGAGAUACGGACCAGACUCCAACGGGAGGCAGCGGUGGGGAAUAUUGCAGAAUGGGCGGAAGCCUGAUGCAGCAACGCCGCGUGCGGGAUGACGGCUUUCGGGUUGUAAACCGAUUUCGCCGGUGACGAAGCGUGAGUGACGGUAAUGGGUAAAGAAGCACCGGCUAACUACGUG